rnacentral:rRNA from 1 species
CUGAACUUAAGCAUAUCACUAAGCCGAGGAAAAGAAACUAACAAGGAUACCCUAAGUAACGGCGAGUGAACCGGGUAAUGCUCAAUACUUAAAAUCUGUGUUCUCUCAUGAGGCAUCGAAUUGUAGUUUUUGAUAAUCAUUCCCUCUUCUUUUAAUAUAAUUAAAGUCUCUUGGAAUAGAGUGUCAUAGAAGGUGAGAACCCUGUGAAUAGUUAUAUUAGAGGGAGGAUAUUGAGUUUGAUUAUCAUAGAGUCGGGUUGUUUGGGAAUGCAGCCUAAAAAGGGUGGUAAAAUCUCAUCUAAAGCUAAAUAUUUGGUAAGAGACCGAUAGAAAACAAGUACCGUGAGGGAAAGAUGAAAAGAACUUUGAAAAAGAGAGUUAAAAAGUACUUGAAAUUGUUAACUGGGA